rnacentral:rRNA from 1 species
GAUGAACGCUGACAGAAUGCUUAACACAUGCAAGUCGAUGGGGAAGUGGUGCUUGCACCAUGGUAACCAUGGCGGACGGGUGAGUAACGCGUAAGGAACUUGCCUGCGGGACUGGGAUAACAGCAGGAAACUGCUGAUAAUACCGGAUAAGGUCAUUAAGCUGCAUAGCUUAGUGAUGAAAGGAGACGCCUGCGGAGAGCCUUGCGUCCUAUUAGCUAGUUGGAGGGGUAACGGCCCACCAAGGCGAAGAUAGGUAGCCGGCCUGAGAGGGUGGACGGCCACAAGGGGACUGAGAUACGGCCGUUACUCCUACGGGAGGCAGCAGUGGGGAAUAUUGGACAAUGGGGGCAACCCUGAUCCAGCAAUUCUGUGUGCACGAAGACGGUUUUCGGAUUGUAAAGUGCUUUCAGCAGGGAAGAAGGAAGUGACGGUACCUGCAGAAGAAGCGACGGCUAAAUACGUG